rnacentral:rRNA from 1 species
UGGAGGGCAAGUCUGGUGCCAGCAGCCGCGGUAAUUCCAGCUCCAAUAGCGUAUAUUAAAGUUGUUGCAGUUAAAAAGCUCGUAGUUGAAUUUCGGGGUCAGUAGAUUGGUCGUGCCACUGGUAUGUACUGGUCUUACUGGCUCCUCCUUCCUGAUGAACCGUAAUGCCAUUAAUUUGGUGUUGCGGGGAGACUGGACUGUUACUUUGGAAAAAUUAGAGUGUUUAAAGCAGGCUAACGCUUGAAUACAUUAGCAUGGAAUAAUGAAAUAGGACGUUCGAUCUUAUUUUGUUGGUUUCUAGGAUUGACGUAAUGAUUAAUAGGGAUAGUUGGGGGCAUUAGUAUUCAAUUGUCAGAGGUGAAAUUCUUGGAUUUAUUGAAGACUAACUACUGCGAAAGCAUUUGCCAAGGAUGUUUUCAUUAAUCAAGAACGAAAGUUAGGGGAUCGAAGACGAUCAGAUACCGUCGUAGUCUUAACCAUAAACUAUGCCGACUAGGGAUCGGAUGAUGUUAAUUUUUUAAUGACUCAUUCGGCGCCUUACGGGAAACCAAAGUGUUUGGGUUC